rnacentral:lncRNA from 1 species
GCGGCCGGGCGGUUCCGCGCGGCCGGCCCCGCAGGCAGCUCCUUGUCGCUGAAGCCCUUCUGCUCCUGGGGGCGGCAGGGCCCUGCUCGGUCCUAGUGCCCCUCGGCCGCGGUCCUCUGCGUCCCCGCGCCCGCGCAGCCCCGGGAGAAGUCCCACCAGUCUCGGAAACACACUUGCACUCGCUAGACCCUAUUAUCCAAUAGCCUUUGGUGGGGAAGGUUAAGAAAGCUCCUCGUUUCAGUGCUGUGUGGCCAGAUCAUUGGCCAAAUGACACUAAAUAGCUCAUGCUACCUGGAUUGGGACUGGUGUCCUAUGGGAUCUAGAGCUUUUGUAGUGGUGCCUAGCAUUCUCGAAGUCUUGAAGGGGAGUCACUGGGCUCAGAAACUCUGCUGAUUCACACCCACUGCAUCAGGAGGCUCACAGCUCUCAUGGCAUCGGAUUUUCAGAUGUGCCCUGAUGCUAUA